rnacentral:lncRNA from 10 species
GGCUGAAAUGCAGUAGCACAAACAUAGCUCACUGUAGCCUCGACCUCCUGGUUUCAAGCCCCCCAUGUAGCUGGGACCACAGGCACAUGCUACCCUGCCUGGCUUUUUUUAUUUUUCAUAUAUUUGUCCAAUGCCAUAUGCAAUUUUUUUUUUUUUUUGAGACAGCAUCUUGCCAUGUUGCCCAGGCUGCUCUCAUAUUCCAGGGUUCAAGAAAUCCUCCCACCUUGGCCUCCCAAAGUACUGGGAUUACAGUAAAACUCUUAAAACAUUUUCAAUAAUUGAGUUCCUUGAAAUUUUUUACUGGAAGAAAAGAGAAAUAAACAGGACCUACAACUCAGUACAUUACUCAGAAAACUACUAACAGGAAUUUCUGAAAAUAAUUUUUGCAUUUAUCACUUCAACUUAGUUAUAAUUCAAGAAUUUAAAAAUUAUUAUUUUCUGAUACAUUUAAUUUUCCUGCCAAAGUACAAAAAACAUGUUUUAAAAUAAAAUUUAAAAUUGAAAUAAGUGGGAGCCAACUAACUAAACUUAACUUUUAAAAGAACAAUUUUUCCAUGGGUAAGUACCUUUAAAGGACACAAGCUGAUAGGGUGGGAAUAAUUAUAAAGAAAUUUCCACCACGCAGUAUA